rnacentral:ncRNA from 1 species
CAGGGUAACCUGACAGGUGAUGGAGCAGAAGUCAGCAGAGGCCAUAGUAGCCGAACGGUCGGGGUAAUGCCUGAUACAUGGUGAAGGGC